UACGGGGGGGGCAAGCGUUGUUCGGAAUUACUGGGCGUAAAGGGCGCGUAGGGGGCCAACUAAGUCAGACGUGAAAUCCCUCGGCUUAACCGGGGAACUGCGUCUGAUACUGGAUGGCUUGAGUUUGGGAGAGGGACGCGGAAUUCCAGGUGUAGCGGUGAAAUGCGUAGAUAUCUGGAGGAACACCGGUGGCGAAGGCGGCGUCCUGGACCAAUACUGACACUGAAACGCGAAAGCCAGGGGAGCAAACGGG
rnacentral:rRNA from 1 species